UUUGACCUCAAAUCAGGUAGGACUACCCGCUGAACUUAAGCAUAUCAUAAGCCGGAGGAACAA
rnacentral:rRNA from 1 species